rnacentral:misc_RNA from 1 species
UCCGAGUUGACCCCGGCAGUCUCCAAUGAGUCCCCGGCAUUACCCGCUGGCAACAUUGGACGAGGGUUGCGCUCGUUGCGGGACUUAACCCAACAUCUCACGACACGAGCUGACGACAGCCAUGCACCACCUGUGAACGGCCCCGAAGGACCCCCCAUCUCUGGAGGAUUUCCGUCCAUGUCAAACCUUGGUAAGGUUCUUCGCGUUGCGUCGAAUUAAGCAACAUGCUCCGCCGCUUGUGCGGGCCCCCGUCAAUUUCUUUGAGUUUUAGCCUUGCGGCCGUACUCCCCAGGCGGGGCGCUUAAUGCGUUAGCUGCGGCACAGACCCCGUGGAAGGGACCCACACCUAGCGCCCAACGUUUACGGCGUGGACUAC